GGAGUAAAGCAGGGGACGUGAGUCAAACUUUUUGUUAUCUGAGCCCUUCUGCUGUUGGUGAUCACAGGAAACUAACGCAACGAAUGAGCCACAAUAUAACUUGGAAAGCGCUCUCUGUAGUUUCUGUAUCCAAGCCACAGGGAAGGUGAACCUCAGGGAAUAAGGAGAAAGAUGGAGGAUUUCUGGGCAGGGGUCCUCUGGGCCCUAAGGAUUUGGCUCUACCUCAUUAUCAGUCUCAUCAUGAUCCCAGCCAUGUUUGGAUUUUCUCUGGGCAUCUCUGAGACCUACAUGACCAUCUUGGUGAAGACCUUAGAGUGGGCCACUCUGAACAUACAGAAAGCAAAUGCAGAAGAAGAAAAGGUUAAUGCUUCUGCAUCUAAUGG